rnacentral:tRNA from 1 species
GCCAGGACAUCUGAGAGGCCGGAUCCGCCGGAUUCAAAAUCCGCCGUUGCAAGACGUGUCGGUUCGAGUCCGACCCCGGGCACCA